rnacentral:lncRNA from 1 species
AAAAACGCGGGCGAGUUGACCGAUUCCUCGCUGGAUAAACGUACAUCGGUGGUGCUCCGCCACGCUUUUGCCUUACGCGGCCAAUAACUCGGAUUUAAAAAAAAAAAGAGUAUAAAACAUGCCAUUUUCUGGUUCUAAAUCAGUAUUUCGUUAUGGAUCUAAAAUGUUUUCUUGAUAACUAUUAAGAAUCGAAGCAAAUCGAUAAAAACAAGAUAAUUUAUGUUGAAAGAAAAAAACAGCUGU